ACUGGUGAAGCUGUGUCGGGAGCUGGGUGCUCUGUACCUUCACUGCACGGCAAACACCGGCCGGGCCGUGCUGACCGCCCUGAAGGAGGCGGACUUGGGCCGGGACAGUGAUGUCUGGCCCCGUUUCAUCUUUCUCUGGGUCCCCGUGGAGCUGUACCGUCAGCUGAAGAGCCAGGAAGGCGGUGGGGUCAAAGUGUGUCCGUGGUACUGAUUGAUGCGCUGCACUACCGACCGUGCAGUGAUGAGCUGACUGCAGAGAGGCCGAGCCAGUCGGCCGGGGCCGCCAGCUGACUGCUGCCGUGUGUGCUGCACCAGCCGGCACUGAGAGCGGCGCCGGUCAGCCGGCACACG